rfam:Otolemur garnettii contig156750, whole genome shotgun sequence.
GCCGGACACCAUGGUGCACCUGUUGUCCCAGCUACUCAGGAGGCUGAGACUGGAGGAUCGCUUGAGUCCAGGAGUUCUGGGCUGUAGUGCCAAUCAGGUGUCCACACUAAGUUCAGCAUCAAUAUGGUGACCUUUCAGGAGUGGAGACCCACCAGGUUACCUAAGGAGGGGUGAACUGGCCCGGAUCAGAAAUGGAGCAGGUCAAAACUCCUGUGCUGAUCAGUAGUGGGAUCAUUCAUGUGAAUAGCCACUGCACACCAGCCUGGGCAACAUAGCAAGACCCCGUCUCUU